rnacentral:misc_RNA from 1 species
UGAGGCAUGCAGCUAUGCAAAAUUCAGAAUCUGGAAGGAUUACUGCUAAGCAUAUGACAAUGCAACCGCAUUUUUCACCAAGUAAAUCACCCAAGAGGAAAUGUGGGCUUUUGUCUAAAAAGAUCAGAAAACUAUCUUCAUUGACUGGUAAUAAAGAGGAAGAAAGGAAACCAGUGGUAGAGAAACUAAAGGGUCCUGUUAUAGCUUGUAUCCCGCUUAAAUUAGUGUUCAGUAGGAUAAAUGAGGCAGUGAAUGGUUCAGCACGACAAACACACCGUGCCUUAACAUAAUUAACUCAUGAAUUUGGUUCUUGGAAAACACUUGCAGAAAGUGGAAUUCUACCCUCAUAUUUGGUUUAUUGGUGUUUUGGGAAUGUUGUUUGACAUAGGGAUUCUCAGCUUAUUCAAACCAUGCUUGGUCUGUUGCAGCAG